CCAGACCAGUGGACAUGUUUGAGACAGGUGGUCUGAGGCCCAGCACACUCUCAGUCCUGCCAUGAAGCAGAUUCCAGAAGUGUGAUGUCAGAGAAGGACAGGGCUGGGAGCACAACCACCAGCCACAGAAACACGCUGGUUCUUCAGCAGCAAGGAUCAUGAGAUGCAAGUCCAGACUGCUUCUCCUGCUCUUCCAAGAAACUGUGAACUCUCUCAUGCCCAGGAAGUGCAACAAACCUUAGACUGCAGAAACAAAAAUUCUUAUUGAACAUUUGGGAAAUGUUCUGAACAACACUGUCCAUCUCCUGCAGCAAAAUGUUGCAGCAGAGAGAGACAGCGAUGCUGAAAACGAGUGGCAGAGGAAUAUUGAAAAAUACAUGUGGCUGUAGAACCCAAUAUGACUGUUUCUCUGUCUGAGGGAGCUGAACACAGGAGCACACUGGGAAAAGCACUACAAAGUGCUGGAUGUGCUGGCAUUUCUGAAUACUGAGUAGCAGCAAGAGCAGGGCAUACACAGCAAGAGGAAAACAAAUGUAUCGUCUGAAAUAACUAAGCCAAGUUAUGCAUUCAGUGCUUUUAGGUAACUGCUGGACAUGAGUAAAGAGCAAUAUUAUCCUUGUGCCUGAAACCAGUCCAAGUCUUUGGUUUUCAGAUCCUUCCUCAUGGAGUUCUCAAAAGAACUUCAAAAGAAAAACAUCUUUGUGGUGAACGACAGAAGAUGCUGGGCUGAACAGAGCAACUUUUUCCAGUAGCUGAGGACAAGGAAAGGACUCAGACAAUCAUGACUUACACUGGAAUUAACCAGGACAAAGCAAUAAUGCUUUGCUGGUGACUGGAUUUGUAUACCCUUUUAAAAGGUUAACUUACUUCACUAUGAUUCAGCCGAGUAGCAAACUCAUUUUAAAAGUAACUCUAUACGUUGCUUAAACUUGAUUUCUUGGCCCCAGGUUUCCCACCUCAGUAGUUCAACUCCACCAGCGGGAGCAGCACCGGCAGAGUCAGCACGGAUGAGGCCCCUAGGAUGGUGAUACCUUCACCAAACUACCACUUCCACCCACAGGGAACAGGACAAGGCACCUCCAUUGCCACAUCUGCCCGGACCCCCCUCAGCCGGCGCACCCUGC
rnacentral:lncRNA from 1 species